rnacentral:snoRNA from 1 species
CCCUCAGAAAAUACUAAUCUAACCAAUCAAGCUUGACGUAUAUCAAAAGGGAGAUGAACACGUAAGAAUUGGGAGGCAAAGAAAUGUGGAUUUGGAGAAGUUUGGGGCAGCUUGCUCCUCGCAGGCUCCAGCGCCCCAUCCCAUACUG